ACAGAGAUGGCGGAAUUGGCAUACGCGGCUGUCUUAGAAACAGUUUUUUAAGAGUUCGAAUCUCUUUCUCUGUA
rnacentral:tRNA from 1 species